UGGAGAUUUCCUUGUAAGGUGCUUGGGUUAGGUUAGGGGGAGGAGUGAGUGGUAAGUUGGUGGGAUGCUUCUGGUUCCCACCAGUUUAUAGUUCAUUCCACUACUUUUCUGGUGGUUUUCAGUUUUCAAAGUUCACU
rnacentral:miRNA from 1 species